rnacentral:lncRNA from 1 species
ACUCUCCCUGCCGUCGCCGCCCGGGACCGGGUGACAUUGAGGUUUUCGUCUAUCGCCGCUGGGCCGAUAGGGCUUCUUUUUAAGAUUUGGCUUUCCAAGUAAGAUUUUUGUUUGCCUGCUUUUCUCCUGGAAUUUUUUUGUUUUUGGUCGAAGAAGCAGGUAACUUGCAUAUCUUAAGGAAAACAUUGUUUUUGCUUUGCUUUUGUUGUUUAAAGAUCCUAAAACGUACCGUGAUUCCUUUACGUUACUAAUAAUUGGAAAGUGUGUUAAAUCAAGGGUUCGCUUAAUGUUCUUUAGCCUUUGUACAUAGAAUAUAUAAAUGUCGUGAGUCAUCUUUACGAGGUUUAUGAGUUUGUGUUCGGGUUUGGCUUUUUUGUUGUGUGUGCGUGGUUUUUUUUUUUCUUUUCUUGUAACACCGUUAGGCGUUUCAUUAAGGUGUAUAAAAAGUAAUUUUAUACACCUAUUAAAAAUUCCCGCUGCCUCGGCUGGAGACUG